UGGGGAAUUUUGGACAAUGGGCGCAAGCCUGAUCCAGCAAUGCCGCGUGCAGGAUGAAGGCCUUCGGGUUGUAAACUGCUUUUGUACGGAACGAAAAGCCUCUCUCUAAUACAGGGGGUGAUGACGGUACCGUAAGAAUAAGCACCGGCUAACUACGUGCCAGCAGCCGCGGUAAUACGUAGGGUGCAAGCGUUAAUCGGAAUUACUGGGCGUAAAGCGUGCGCAGGCGGUUUUGUAAGACAGUGGUGAAAUCCCCGGGCUCAACCUGGGAACUGCCAUUGUGACUGCAAGGCUGGAGUGCGGCAGAGGGGGAUGGAAUUCCGCGUGUAGCAGUGAAAUGCGUAGAUAUGCGGAGGAACACCGAUGGCGAAGGCAAUCCCCUGGGCCUGCACUGACGCUCAUGCACGAAAGCGUGGGGAGCAAACAGGAUUAGAUACCCUGGUAGUCCACGCCCUAAAACGAUGUCAACUGGUUGUUGGGGAUUUAUUUCUUCAGUAACGAAGCUAACGCGUGAAGUUGACCGCCUGGGGAGUACGGCCGCAAGGUUAAAAACUC
rnacentral:rRNA from 1 species